ensembl:lncRNA
UUUCAAUGUAAAUGUGUGUGCUUUUUGUAUAGAAAUGAAUGAGUGGAUCAGAUGCAUUGACCUCCUCUGUUAGACCCUGCAACGUGUGUUUGAGCACGCGCACGCACACACACACACACACACACACACACACACACACACACACACACACACACCCCGGCUUGCUUCCAUACUGCUGGUCUUUUGUGACCUUCCGUCUUGUAAAAAGAAGUGUGGUAAUCAGAAUAACUCUCCGUUGGUCCAUUUGAAAGAUCAUUUUGGAAGUCCUCACCACGGAGCUCUGGCUCUGGAGAAAGCCUCCCUGCUUGGCACACACACACACACACACACACACACACACACACACACACACACACACACACACACUUUUGUGCUGAGGUUACAAUCUGCAAACCUCAGCACAUUUUACCGCCAAAUUGUUCACUCUGCAGCAUUUAGCAUCUUGUUUGCAGAGAGCAACGAUUGGUCGGUCAAGAAAAGCCCUGCAGCAGCGUAUAGUCAAUUUCUAACUUUCAGCACAUUCUGCCUUGACCAACAUAUUGAAUCAAGUUCCCUUGAGUGUGGAACAUAACCAGGAAAUAGGAUUCCUGAUGUAUAUAUGUAUGAAUCAUUGGCCAUGUGUUCCAUAAAACAUGAACCCUCUGCUACAUAUCGACAAAAAAACUACGUGAACAGGAAAUCACGAGUGUGACACUCAAACUGUCCAGUCAGUACAGAGGACGUACGUGCACCUUUAUUAAAGUAAGACAGACGAAUACUGUUCAUAUCCCACACAAAUAGGGACAAACGGACAGGAAGCGCUCGUGCGGAUCGAUGCCUCUAAAUGUCUCAUUGUUUUCAAUGAGAAGAGGCAGAGUGCCCCCUGCGCAAUGUCACACACAGUGACACGUGCACGCCAACGCCAGCGCCGCCAUGAUGGCACCGCCGAGGAGCCGCGGACGUCAUUCAAUCUCCUCUCUUUCGUGGACGUCCCGCCCUCCCGUCUUUGGCAGCCCAAUUCACUUUUAAGGCCGAUCUCAGGGGGCUGAAGCGGUUUAUCUUUUGCAUCUUUGUGUCCUUUGGAGACCAAGGUUCAUUUUGAAAAACCCCUUGAAAAAAAACACAAUUUACUUCAUGUUGCUCUGUUGGUCCCUAGGAAGACACAUUUGAUCUCUUCUGGCAUUGGUCAAGGUUAGGGAAAGGUCCCCUCGGGGAUCGGAGACAGACACCGGUCUCCUGUAUCUGAGUGUGGCGUUCCGUUAAAUCAUCCAUCUGUUACCAGGUAGUGCUGCUUUUUAACUCUUGAGGUCACAAACGGCGUCUACAAACAGCCGAGCAUCUGGCGUUGCCGGGACGCGGCGGCGUAUAUGGAAAGGAUGCCGUCUUCCUCCAAGGUGCAUGUUCUUGCGUCCCUGCAGCUGAUUCCCUUAAGUGGUCCCCGAUAUAUAAGUGUUGGCAUCGGGUAGAGGGUCCGUCCUAGGAGGGACAUGGGAGGGUAAAGAGGGACACACAAGGUGUGUGUGUGUGUGUGUGUGUGUGAGCAGGUGAGAGACGUUAAAGUAAAAGGAUGCUGCUCUGACGUCAAACGUCUUUUCUUAGCACGCUCUCGUCCCUCAAGGACGAGGACAAGGACAUGCGCAGGUGGAGGGAGUCGGCGCCGCCUCAGGUGCACAGGUGACGUUUCAGCCGCGUGAGAGUCGCUUUCAUCCCGGCGCACUGGCAGCUGAAACUACCGGCGAGUCUGUGUCCCCCCCGGUAAGAUCAGACCCGAUGGACUCAUUGGAUCAGAUUAGUCCCUGAGCCCCCCGGCACCUCAUCGCCAGGGCUGUUACGCUCCUGCAUUUUACAUCUGUUUGCUAUGUACGAGGGGGAGUCAAUGGCUAUUAUUAAAUCAUCCUCCCUGAUUCGUGCUCCGCUGGGACGGAUCCCCGCGAAUCAAUUUACGGCGAGAAUUGAAAUAGUCUCAUUCCGGAGGGAAACCCCACGAGGCCCGACCGCGGCGCCGCAAUCCCUCUUCAGCGUCCGCUCAUCCCGUCGGUUCUUCCACGGGCCGGUCUGCGGUUUAGCCCGUGUUAAAGUCAACCGGGCCCCCGCCGGCCUGUCAGGCCUUGGAUUUCUUUGGAUUUGGAGACGACGGAUGAAGCAAAUGUCAAAGCGCGACCGAGCAGAACCUUAUAUUCUAAAACGACCAAAUCAAAAUAGGUCUCCUGGAAAUGUGACGACAGGAAUAAAGAGCUCAGGAGGGAGACGAAAGCAAGGGUGGAGGGAAGGAGGGGGGGAGGCUUUGAUGAAUAACCGCAGUACUGAUGCUGACAGCACACACUGAAGUGUGUGUGUGUGUGUGUGUGUGUGUGUGUCUCUAUCUCUGUCACACGUGAACACAGUGUCUGUCUGGGCUCGAUUCGUCGAUCUGGAUUCAUCUCUUGAGUUCUGGAUGGAAGAGCGUCUGCCGGGGUCCUCGCUCUCAUUUCAUCGUCUCUGUGUCUGUAUUUCUCUGCUGAGAGACACCAGCCGACAACGAGCGAAGGAGAACGUGGUCGUCUGUCGCCUGAUGUGUUCUACACGCAGGCCGCUUCACAAGGCGCCACUUAUUCCCCAGAGAAACACACACACACACACACACACAUCAGUGUCAACGUGCCCCCAACAAACAUCCAAACAGAAUCCUCAUCAUCACCAUCUCUCCUUCGUUCUUUCUCCUACACACAGUUUAAUGAUCCUUCUGUUCACUGUGCGAUCAUUUCGUUGGCGCAGCAGCAGCAGUGCAAAACUGUAUGGAUAUAAAUGACUAAUGCAUCAUAUUAACGGGCAGUCAGAGUGAUUUUUAGUGUGCUCAGGAGUCCAAAUCAUCCCCAUCAAAUCAUCAGGUUGUGUUUCAUUGCCGGUGUCUCAGCAAUUAAAUAUAAAGGCGGUAAAAAGUCACCCCCUCGUUUCUGGUACAAAGCUGCACUUGAAGCCAGCGCGUGCUUGAAUUGAAGGAAAUCACUCGUUGCAAGGGAGCAUUAUGGCAAGACAAAGUCUUGUGCUUGUGGGUGAUAAACAGGCAGAAAUGGAUGAAAAUGAGUGAGGUUCAGCUCUCUGUGGCGAUGCAACGAUCCUCUUCUUACUGCGCUUCUGCACACGGCCUCUAUAUUCGGCAGCAAGUUAUCAGAAAGGUUUAGCUCGGCGUCCAGAGGCAUGACUUAUUCACAACAACGGCCGAGUGAACCGCGUGUCCUCAUCAAAGCACAGCUGUCCCAGGUCUGCUCUCCCAUACUCUCCCUCUCUGUACAUCAAAACACCGAAAACUGCGUCAGUUUUGUCAACAGCAGUACUUUAGUGUAGAAGUACAGGGAAGCCAGAGACUGUUCGAUGACGGACCGCGGAGAGGCAAACCUCUGGGCGGGUUCGUCCUUCCCAAAAACCACAAAAAAACCUGUAAAGCGUAUAUUCAAAUCCACCAAAAUGACACCUGAAUUAUAUCUGUUAACUCCAAAAAGCGAAUUGUCUAUGUUUUUCAUUGAAAAACAAUGCAGUUGGAUCCUUCUGCACAAAUUAAACACGUCCACAUUACUUUCUGUUUGGUUCAUUCACCAUUGUGACACAGAAGAUAAUGAAAUAUACAUAAAAUAUAACUUCAUAAUCAUUAUUAUAUAGAUGCAUUCAACCGUCAAUCUAGUUACAGUACUUCAAAUACGGUUACACAUUAUUUUCCGUAAAAAAGUGUGAAUGUUAAUGGCACAGGGGGAAAAAGAGGCACACAUCAACCGAAAAUGAUCCUUUCUCUCUGUUUGAAAUGAAUAUUAAAUAUUAUAAACUCUUUGUGAACUGUGAACAUCUCACACAGGACGGGGUCCUCAACUAAGCACAGUAAUCGAGGGUACUUGCUAACUACCUGCGUACCAGCAAGGACCACAAAUGCAAACCUGACGGCAAGGGGAGAGAUAUUGGUGUGUCUUUCGAGGUCAAAGGUCAAUCUUCUCGGCCCCAUGUGGCCGGCGAGUGAGCCACGAGCGGUGACUCGUGUUCCCACGUCGUUACUUUAGAAUCAUUGCAAAGUGAUGAUUUGUAUCAUUAUAGAAAAACAGAUAUAUUGUUUUAGAAUUUAACCUCCAUCCAAGAUUUUAGUAAAUAGUAUUAAAAUAUUAUUAAAAAGAACAAGAACAAGAACUACAAGCAGUGUUGUUGUCUUUUGAUGCAACGGUUUCCGUGGCAACGGAAUGCAUCGCCCCUCAUCGGAUGCAGUCAUGUGUCUAUAAUGUAUAGAAGCCAAAUUCAUCCUUCGGUAAAACGUAACGUCUACGGUAACGUAUCGGAGGCAGACGUUUGUCUGUCUCGAGCUCCAUAGAGGAUCUCUGGCCAAAAGUAAACGCCACAGGAGUACGCCAUCAUUCUGAGCAAAAAUUAACCUUUGAAGAGUGAAUUAUAAGGACACAACUACAAAUAUGUUUUGAACCAGAUCCUGACGCUGCUGUACACUCUAGAUCCCCCUAACGUGCUCGAUGAAGAACUCAUUCAGGGUGUUGCCAGAGACGGUCACGAGCAAGUGGGCGCGCCUGCAAGUCAAAGUGCUGGUAAUGAGAAGCAGAAGCUGCAUCCUGGAGUUUUUGGGGGGAGUUUUAACGCAAUGGAUAAUUACACUGCAAUUAUGACACGGUGUGUGGAUGUGUUUCAUUGUGCUUGUGUGUGUGUGUGUGUGCUGCUGAAGCAAUCAUGUAAAACACGACUCAUUGGGGAUUUAUUAGCAAAGCUUGAACUCAAAUUUCCAUCAACCAUCAGGUGGUGAAAUGAAGCACGCACUCUUCCGCCCCGAGGUCAUUCAUUUAAUCAAAGAGGACAAAUUCAGCACAUGUUCAGCUCAUGUUUUACAUGUUGGUGUUCUACUCGCAUGCUGACUUCUCUGCUCUGAUUGGUCGUCCUUGUUCGAGUGUGUUUCUAUCAUGAUGUUUAGAAGCACUUUUAUUAUGAGGAAUAACCAACAGUGAUUCAAUGUGUGUUGAAACACCUUCAAAAUACGUGAAAGAAUAUAGUAUAGUUGAUAUUGUCAUCAAUUAGUCGAAUGAUGUUUGACUGAAACAUACACGUGAUUUAUUGCGCGUUUACCUUUAGAAUGAAAUAACACUUUCAUAGUAAUAUAGUUCAUUGGACUUUUUAUUCUUAACCAUCUGCGUGCAAUGUUUUUUUUUCAUAUCACCUGUUUUGAAAAGAGUAUGUUUGUUUUAUUCAUCUCACACCACAAGAUGAGUAAUUGCUUCAAAUUUAUAAAAAUCCUCCCCACAAAAUAAAGCUCCCCAACACAGAAACGUUCGUUCGAUACACACGAGGAAAAGGUAGCAAAGGCAAACAUUUUAUCUUUAAUUUAUCCAGAUAGAGUUACAAUACCAGCACCAUCACCAACAAAACACUAACUAUAUAUAUGAAAACAGGCCGUACGAGCUCUAAAGUUACAAGCAGCCAGAUAAUAUUUUGAGCGGAUUGAAGGCGAUGAAAUCAAACACGGUAAAAUGAUCCUUUGUGUUACACAGCAUGCAACAUAUUAACACACAAAAUCCAU